AGGGAGCGUGCGCUCCGCGCCAUGCAACCGGGGACAAGAAAUGUGUCUGCGGUCCAAACACUUAAAAGACACAUCCUCGUCCACUUACCCUCGCCUUAAGCCCUUAGGGAAAUCCCCGUCGCCAUCUUGGAGGGCGGUUCAAAUGAUUAGCCAAGCAAGGGAAGUUUGCAACGUAAUCCCCUCAGCCCUCAUUUUUAGUUGGCUUUGCGAGUGUACAAUUAUGUUCACUCCGGGGCCCGAAACUCCCCAUAAUUCAAUUUGCGACGAUUGUACAUCCGCUAACAAAAGUCAGCGAAAACUUAAAAACAACAUCAAUGGAGAAGUCAACAUACAAGUGUCAUGUCUACUGCAACAGAGCAACAAGAGGAAGUGGGUGAGGUGAGUGUGCACUGUGACACACACAACACCCCCGGAUUCACACACUAUGACACACCUGGACACAUACACUACAACGACACAACCAGAGACACAGACCAGGUGGUGUUGGACUCGUCUCUGUUCCAGUACAGCUCUGAGGUUGAACAGCUCUUACCGCCUACAGACCAGCACCCCACCACGGACCAGAAGGAGUUGAUGAUGGAGCAGUCAGAGAAGACAGAAACACUUUCUAAUGUGCCCACACACACCCCUAUCACACACACUCUGCCCCCUGAGCACACACACACUGAGGAGCCUCCAACAUGGGGCAGAGCCCAGCAGGAGGCUGAGACAAGGCGCGGAAGUCCACCGGUCAAUGAGGAACACACUGAUGACCUCACUGCUUUGGGAGCCAAUGGAAGUGCUUACCCACGCUCUGUGGGAGGGGAGAUGGAGGACAUGACAGAGCUCUGGGCCCUGAGUAGACCUGCACCCCUUACAUCAGCCCAUGAGACCCUUAACACCCCACACACUACUCUAGAAGGAGACAGAACAAUGGAGGGAGAGAAAACAAUGGGGAGUGUGAUGGAGAGAGAAAAAACAUUGGAGCCAGUCUCUAUGAUGGAGAGAGAGAAAACAAUGCGCAGCUUGGUGGACCUGCAGAGGAAGGUGGAGCAGAAACAACAGCGAGACAGAGAGAGACAAUUACUGAGGGUCCAGGAGCGGCUGUCAAUCAUUCAGAACAAGAAGUCCCAGGAAGACCUGAUGGGCCUCAGACAGACUGACAGACUCCGACACCUCACACAUAACCUGCCCCAGGCGGAUAAGAGCCAGCAGAAGACAGUGGUCAGAGAGAGACUGGAGCAGCUGAGGAGAGAACGCUCCUACGUCAUGCAGUCCAAACGAGACAGGAAUACAGCAGGCUUCAAGGAGCUGCUGGGUCCAGUGAGAAUCCACAGUGCAGAGCCAGACGACACUGCUGACUCACUCAGGCUAGCCACCAGCGCAAGCUAA
rnacentral:lncRNA from 1 species